rnacentral:rRNA from 1 species
CAUUAUCGAAGCACUCAGGCAAAGGCUGUGGCUGGCCGAAUGAAAGGCAUGUGCACGUCUGAGCCAUUUCAUCCACAAACACCUGUGAACCUGAUGCGGAUUGUCUUCGAAAGAGGUUGUCCGUGCAUUUUACCUACCACGCAUGUCUUUGAAUGUAAAGAAAGGACCUCCUUUGAGGUAUAAAUGCAUAUAACUUUCAACAACGGAUCUCUUGGCUCUCGCAUCGAUGACGAACGCAGCGAAAUGCGAUAAGUAAUGUGAAUUGCAGAUUUUCAGUGAAUCAUCGAAUCUUUGAACGCACCUUGCGCUCCUUGGUACUCUGAGGAGCAUGCCUGUUUGAGUGUCAUUAAAUCAUCAACCUCUGGUCAGAUUUUAAAUGUCUGAGGAGGCUUGGACUUUGGAGCGUGCUGAUCUUGAAGUGUCUCAGCUCCUCUGAAAUGCAUUGGCAGAGGUUCAUUGGUCUCUCUCCAACCCUUUUGGUGUGAUAGUCAUCUUGUCGUCACCAUGUUGGUAGUGCAGGCUGCUCUCUGCUUUACGAUCCAUUCUUAUGGGUGUUGUUAUAAUCAUUGACCUCAAAUCAGGUAGGACUACCCGCUGAACUUAAGCAUAUCAAUAAGCGGAGGAAAAGAAACUAACAAGGAUUCCCCUAGUAACUGCGAGUGAAGCGGGAAAAGCUCAAAUUUAAAAUCUGAUGGUCUCGUGACCAUCCGAGUUGUAAUCUGGAGAAGCGUUUUCCGUGUUGGACCAUGUACAAGUCUUCUGGAAUGGAGCAUCAUAGAGGGUGAGAAUCCCGUCUGUGACAUGGACUGCCAAUGCUUUUGUGAUACGCUCUCGAAGAGUCGAGUUGUUUGGGAAUGCAGCUCAAAAUGGGUGGUAAAUUCCAUCUAAAGCUAAAUAUUGGCGAGAGACCGAUAGCGAACAAGUACCGUGAGGGAAAGAUGAAAAGCACUUUGGAAAGAGAGUUAAACAGUACGUGAAAUUGUUGAAAGGGAAACGCUUGGAGUCAGCUGCAUCGGUUGAGACUCAACCUUGCAUUUUUGCAUGGCGUACUUCUCGAUUGAUGGGUCAACGUCAAUUUUGACCAUUGGACAAAGGUCAGGGGAAUGUGGCACCCUUUUGGGGUGUGUUAUAGCCUUUGACUAUGCGAUGGUUGGGAUUGAGGAAUUCAGCAUGCCUUUAUGGCCGGGGUUCACCCACGUUCA